CUCUUCCGUCCUGUCUUCGGAUGUGAGAAUUCAUCGACAAGCUGCACAUCCUCUACUAAAUCUCCGGCAACAUCACGCACAAUUUCCAUUAUAUCGUUUUCAUGGAAUGGCAUGCGACCGCCCGCAGCAGCAGCAGCUGAAGGUGGUAACCAAAACGCAACGUCCUUGUAGCAUGCAGGGUGUUUGGAGAAGGGGAUGAAGCGGGUGAUUUUACCUGCUUGGAAUUGGGAGAGGAAGCGCGGAUCCCGGGACCAGAAGAGGCGGAUGUCCGGGAUAUUGAAAAGGAGCAUAGCGAUGCGCUCGAGGCCGAGGCCGAAGGCCCAGCCGACGCGGUGUGGGACGCCAGCGGAGAUGAGGAGUUCUUGCUUGACGACACCGCAACCGAGGACCUCAAGCCAGUCGCCUUGCCAGAAUACCUCGAGCUCCCAAGAUGGGCUGG
rnacentral:sRNA from 2 species